rnacentral:rRNA from 1 species
GUAGGGUGCGAGCGUUAAUCGGAAUUACUGGGCGUAAAGCGUGCGCAGGCGGUUUUGUAAGACAGGCGUGAAAUCCCCGGGCUCAACCUGGGAACUGCGCUUGUGACUGCAAGGCUAGAGUACGGCAGAGGGGGGUGGAAUUCCACGUGUAGCAGUGAAAUGCGUAGAGAUGUGGAGGAACACCAAUGGCGAAGGCAGCCUUCUGGGCCAACACUGACGCUCAUGCACGAAAGCGUGGGGAGCAAACAGGAUUAGAUACCCUGGUAGUCCACGCCCUAAACGAUGACGACUAGUUGUUGGAGGAGUUAAAUCCUUUAGUAACGCAGCUAACGCGCGAAGUCGUCCGCCUGGGGAGUACGGUCGCAAGAUUA